UACAGAGGGUGCAAGCGUUAAUCGGAAUUACUGGGCGUAAAGCGCACGUAGGUGGGUAAUUAAGUCGCAUGUGAAACCCCUGAGCUUAACUUAGGGACUGCAUGCGAUACUGGUUGCCUAGAGUAUAGUAGAGGGAAGUGGAAUUUCCGGAGUAGCGGUGAAAUGCGUAGAUAUCGGAAGGAACACCAGUGGCGAAGGCGGCUUCCUGGGCUAAUACUGACACUGAGGUGCGAAAGCGUGGGGAGCAAACAGG
rnacentral:rRNA from 1 species